AGUCGAGCGCUCUCCUUUCGGGGAGGGAGCGGCGGACGGGUUAGUAACGCGUGGGAACGUACCCUUUUCUACGGAAUAGCCAUUGGAAACGAUGAGUAAUACCGUAUACGCCCUUUGGGGGAAAGAUUUAUCGGAGAAGGAUCGGCCCGCGUUAGAUUAGAUAGUUGGUGGGGUAACGGCCUACCAAGUCUACGAUCUAUAGCUGGUUUGAGAGGAUGAUCAGCAACACUGGGACUGAGACACGGCCCAGACUCCUACGGGAGGCAGCAGUGGGGAAUCUUAGACAAUGGGCGCAAGCCUGAUCUAGCCAUGCCGCGUGAGUGAAGAAGGCCCUAGGGUCGUAAAGCUCUUUCGCCAGGGAUGAUAAUGACAGUACCUGGUAAAGAAACCCCGGCUAACUCCGUGCCAGCAGCCGCGGUAAUACGGAGGGGGUUAGCGUUGUUCGGAAUUACUGGGCGUAAAGCGUACGUAGGCGGAUUAGUCAGUCAGAGGUGAAAUCCCAGGGCUCAACCCUGGAACUGCCUUUGAUACUGCUAGUCUUGAGUUCGAGAGAGGUGAGUGGAAUUCCGAGUGUAGAGGUGAAAUUCGUAGAUAUUCGGAGGAACACCAGUGGCGAAGGCGGCUCACUGGCUCGAUACUGACGCUGAGGUACGAAAGUGUGGGGAGCAAACAGGAUUAGAUACCCUGGUAGUCCACACCGUAAACGAUGAAUGCCAGACGUCGGGUAGCAUGCUAUUCGGUGUCNCACCUAACGGAUUAAGCAUUCCGCCUGGGGAGUACGGUCGCAGAUUAAAACUCAAAGGAAUUGA
rnacentral:rRNA from 1 species